UUUGUCUAGCUCACUCGACCCUAUCCAUACCCUCCAGGGUAUCUACCUCUCCCCUCAGUUUAGUGUCAUCUGCAAACUUGCAAUUCAUCUCAUCAUCCAGAUCAUUAAUAAAGAUGUUGAACACAAUCGGCCCUAUGACAACGCCUGGGGUACUCCGCUUGAUACCAGCUGGCAACUAGACAUCGAGCCAUUGAUCGCUACCUGUUGAGCCCGACAAUCUAGCCAGCUUUCUGUGCACCUUAUAAUCCAUUCAUCCAAUCCAUACUUUUUAAAAAUAUUUAUUAACCAUACUAUUUACCCCUUUUGCUGCCUCUAAAAUUUAAUGAACAACUGGAUGGAAUAAGAGAACAACACUGCUAGGGUCCUAUGAUUAUAUAACUAGUGCUGUGCCUUUACUCCCCACUAAAAAUUAGAUUGUCUCCAGCGGCCUUCCACCUAGAGGCCUAGCUAGUCUAAACAUUAGCAGUAAGAGCCAGUGAAAGAACUGAGAAAUAUUCAAGAUGGAGUGAAUUUAACAUUUUGGUUUCUAUAAUCUUGUUUUUUAUUCAGACAGUAUUAUCCUCACUGUGUGGCCUUCAAGGAUGUAGCGAGCCUAUUUCUCCAACUUAAAUCAUACUGUGGCCAAAUUAAACUGUUUUAUUGGAUGUGGGAGGAGGAGUAAGAUAGAAGAUUGUAAAUAUACACCAUUCCCCUGCACUAUUACUACUUUCCAUGUGGAUAAGAACAUUUUAUGACUUUACUGCUGAUAAAUGUGAAGUUCUUGGGCUAGCCAGGUGUAACAAGAACAGUAGUACACGGCCUUUCUCCUUCAGUUCAGUACUAGCCUACUUUCAUACGUUUGUUCAGAGGUGCUGACAUGCUGCAUUAGACCACUUAGUCAAUCUAGUCCAGUAUCCUGUUACUAAGAGUGGCUGGUACCAGCUGCUUCAAAGGAAGGUACAAGAAAUCCUGCAGUAGUUUGUCAAAGGAAAACCCUGUUCCUCAGGGAAGGUUUCUUGCUAACCUCCAUUAGUUAGAAGUUUGUUUAAGCCUUGAAGCAUGAGGGUUUGUAUCCUUUCCAAAACUAAUUUAAAGGGUGAAAAAGCUAUUCUUUGUUCCAUCUAAAUGUCCAAUCUGUUUCUGCAUCCUGCUAAACUGUGGCCUCAAUCUCCUGUUCCCUUCUCCAUGGCAAACUCGCAUCGUCUUUUCAAUCUUUCUUCAUAUGAAAUUGUUUCAUGUACUUAAUUAUUCUUGGAACCCAGCACUGAACCAACCACCUAUUUCUUCAUGUGCUUUGUUUGUUUUUUUGUUUUGUUUUUGGUUUGGUUUUUUUUUUUUUGAGUGGGUGACCAGAACUGAACAGUAUUCCAGGUGAGGUUGUUACUGAUUUAUAUAAUAGCAUUUUCCAUAUUCUCCAGCCUAUUCCUUAUUCAUGAUAAGUUUCCUUUUUGCCCUCUGACUGUAUAUUGAUAACUGGUCUCAACUGGGCUGUCCACAAUUCCUAGAACUCUUUCCUGAGCUGAUAGUCAAUUUAGCAUAGUAAGAUGUGUGAAUAGCCCAAAUUGUUGCCUCCAAUGUGCAUUUGCCAACAAUGAGCUUAAUAUUGAUUGUAAUGCCCAUUCACUAAACUUAAUUAGAUCCCUCUGCAGUGCUUUGCUCUUCUCCCAGCUUGAGCAAACACGUGCAAGACAACUGCUGAUUUACUUUUAUCUCACUGACUAGACCACUUCACUGUCUAGUUUUUUGUGGGGAAUUUAAGCAUUGAGAUUGUUAAUGUGAAACGGGCUCCUGUAUGUUCUAAGUAUUGUCUUACAGGAGAAGUUUAAAACUGGUCAAAAAGGUAAUUCUCUAGUCAUCUCCUUUUUAUUAUUUAUUUAUUUAUUUAAAUGUAGCACCCUAAAUGCUGUCAGUGGUAUAAUCUCAAAUCAUCACUUUACAGCUGGGAAGCAGACACUUUUUUGGUUCCUUUUCUUUAUUCCAGCAUAUGUGCCUGUGUUUCUCCCGCACCCCCACCUGCCCUCACCAAAUAAUAAUAAUAAUUAAUAAUUAAUAAAACAUCACCUCACUCAUCUGCCUGGAUUUCUAAAGUUAAUUAAGGAAUUUUAUAUAGUUAGACACCUGGCUCAGUGAUAGGUAGGGUAGUUUUUUUUCACCCUGAAAGAAAUUUUAAACAGUUAAAAAAUCCUUGAAUUGUUUGAAAAUAAACUAUCAAUAUUUUA